rnacentral:rRNA from 1 species
UACGAAGGGUGCAAGCGUUACUCGGAAUUACUGGGCGUAAAGCGUGCGUAGGUGGUUCGUUAAGUCUGAUGUGAAAGCCCUGGGCUCAACCUGGGAAUUGCAUUGGAUACUGGCGGGCUAGAGUACGGUAGAGGGUGGCGGAAUUCCUGGUGUAGCAGUGAAAUGCGUAGAUAUCAGGAGGAACACCGGUGGCGAAGGCGGCGUUCUGGACUGCAACUGACACUGAGGAACGAAAGCCAGGGGAGCAAACGGG